CUUUCGUUUUGAUCCAUUUCUUUGCACCUGUAAAAUCCCUCCCUGGGGGUAUAUAUUUUUUCUGCUGCAUAAUAUUUUCUCAUUGACCUGUUAAUUAUACAAGUGAUACUCUAAUGGGAUAACAGUGCUUGAUUCUCCAUCUUUUCUUGUUCUGAGGUGCUGUGUAUGUCACGAUGCAUGUUACGAAGAUCUCAGAAAGAGAAAGAUUUGCGGUAACGUUCUAAAGACGCAAUUCUCAGGAGAGAGCUGAAAAGAGCCCAUAGACACAACACGAAGAGGCCAGCUUCUCACCUAGCCCUUGUGACGGCCAACGUAUCAAACUCCAAGUAUAUUUGAAUGCCACUAUGAAUAAUU